rnacentral:rRNA from 1 species
AUACGGAGGGUGCAAGCGUUACUCGGAAUCACUGGGCGUAAAGCGCGCGCAGGCGGCCAUUUAAGUUGGAUGUGAAAGCCUACGGCUCAACCGUAGAACUGCAUCCAAAACUAUUUGGCCAGAGUGUGGGAAAGGAAGAUGGAAUUAGUUGUGUAGGGGUAAAAUCCGUAGAGAUAACUAGGAAUACCAAAAGCGAAGGCAAUCUUCUGGAACACUACUGACGCUGAGGCGCGAAAGCGUGGGGAGCAAACGGGAUUAGAAACCCCAGUAGUCC